AGCAGCCGCGGUAAUUCCAGCUCCAAUAGCGUAUAUUAAAGUUGUUGCAGUUAAAAAGCUCGUAGUUGAAUUUCGGGAUCAAUACGUCGGUCGUGCUUCGGUACGUACUGGCGUCAUUGGUUUCUCCCUUCUGACGAACCAUGAUGUCAUUAACUUGGUGUCAUGGGAAAUCAGGACUGUUACUUUGAAAAAAUUAGAGUGUUUAAAGCAGGCUCACGCUUGAAUACAUUAGCAUGGAAUAAUGAAAUAGGACGUUCGAUCCUAUUUUGUUGGUUUCUAGGAUUGACGUAAUGAUUAAUAGGGAUAGUUGGGGGCAUUAGUAUUCAAUUGUCAGAGGUGAAAUUCUUGGAUUUAUUGAAGACUAACUACUGCGAAAGCAUUUGCCAAGGAUGUUUUCGUUAAUCAAGAACGAAAGUUAGGGGAUCGAAGACGAUCAGAUACCGUCGUAGU
rnacentral:rRNA from 1 species